CCCUCCACAGCUUUCCAACAGUUAUAGUGGAGGGCGAGGGGGACACAAGACCUCCUAUCACCUGAUUCCAGGUCCUUGGCCAGAGGAGCAGUAGCCACCUUGUCCUGGUUCAGCCUGUCUUGAAGCUGCUUAUCGAUCUGAUUUUCAAUAUCUGUCACCAUCUCUGAAGUAGAAGGGCUGACAGACAACAGAAGGGACUUCCUGCCAGGGGAGGAGCUAUGAGCAGAAGGCAGUGGGAGCCCUCUCCUUCCUUGAAGACCAGGAAGAUGUGAUAUUUAAAGUGGAAAUGAGAGAACUGAAGUUCUGGAAAGGUGAGAAUCAAAUCUACAGCCCAUUCGUUCAGCAACUUCCUGUCUCCACGCCGUGAAGUUCAGCAGCGCAGCGGCGCAGAGGGAACUUGCACAGAUGGUUGUGGUGGCAUGGCCCCCGAUCUGUGAGGAAUUCUGGAGAAUAGAAGGGGAGCCAAAGACUGGAGGGGACACGGGUUCGAGCCCUGGCCUGGGAAGAUCCCACAUG